UCAGUGCAGGAGACAGCAGAGUGUAGUUUUUUAGUGUGUUAUUUUUUAAAUAAAUCUGCUCCUGUUGGAGACAAAUGUAUCCUAUGUUUCCUAAUUUUUAUUGUGUAAGUAAACCUUCCUAGAAGUGUUAGUCGGGUGAUAAACAUGUAAGGAC